UCUUCAAUUUCAAUUUCCAAAUUCAAUUUUCAAAUUAACCAUUUUAUUAUCACGAGUCACGCCCAUAACCACACUCUCUCUCAUAUAAAUACCCCUCUUCCAUUUUUCUCUACCAUUUUGUGUAGCCGAGAGAAAGAGAAACUUCAAGAGAAGAAUUUCUCUUUCUUUCUCCUUCCAUCAAUUUUCUCUCUACUUUCACGGUAUGAAUUUCCUUUUUCUCCGAUCGUUUAG